rnacentral:rRNA from 1 species
UACAGAGGGGGCAAGCGUUGUUCGGAAUUACUGGGCGUAAAGGGCGCGUAGGCGGCCUGUUAAGUCGAACGUGAAAUCCCUGGGCUCAACCCAGGAACUGCGUCCGAUACUGGCAGGCUUGAAUCCGGGAGAGGGAUGCGGAAUUCCCGGUGUAGAGGUGAAAUUCGUAGAUAUCGGGAGGAACACCUGUGGCGAAGGCGGCCAUCUGGACGGUAACUGACGCUGAGACGCGAAAGCGUGGGUAGCAAACAGG